UACGAAGGGGGGCUAGCGUUGUUCGGAAUCACUGGGCGUAAAGCGCACGUAGGCGGACUUUCAAGUCAGGGGUGAAAUCCCGGAGCUCAACUUCGGAACUGCCUUUGAUACAGCACGUCUUGAGUCCGGAAGAGGUGGGUGGAAUUCCUGGUGUAGCGGUGGAAUGCGCAGAUAUCAGGAGGAACACCAAUAGCGAAGGCAGCUCGCUGGGACGGUAUUGACGCUAAGGCGCGAAAGCGUGGGGAGCAAACAGG
rnacentral:rRNA from 1 species